UACGUAGGGUGCAAGCGUUAAUCGGAAUUACUGGGCGUAAAGCGUGCGCAGGCGGCUUUGCAAGACAGAUGUGAAAUCCCCGGGCUUAACCUGGGAACUGCAUUUGUGACUGCAUGGCUAGAGUACGGCAGAGGGGGAUGGAAUUCCGCGUGUAGCAGUGAAAUGCGUAGAUAUGCGGAGGAACACCGAUGGCGAAGGCAGUCCCCUGGGCCUGUACUGACGCUCAUGCACGAAAGCGUGGGGAGCAAACAGG
rnacentral:rRNA from 1 species